rnacentral:misc_RNA from 1 species
AACAAGGCGUACCUGCGGACCUGCGGAGGGAUCAUUAUUGAAUAAAUCUGACAUGGUUGUAGCUGGCUCUUAGGAGCAUGUGCACACCUGUCACCUUUAUCUUUCCACCUGUGAACCCUUUGUAGUCCCAGGAUAACCUCUCGCGCACUCUGGUGUUGCGGAUGCGAAGGUUGUUGUGCCUCUGGCCAGCUCCCAUCGAAUUUCCUGGGUCUAUGUUUCUUAUACACCCCUGUAUGUUAA